CUGGAAAACUGCUGACAGAAUUGUCCACAUUCUCUCCAGGAUUGGAUGUCAUAAAAGGCACCCACCACCUUUCCACAGCUUGUUCAUUUUUAACUGAGGCUUCUUUGUACACACCAAGUGUGGUCUUGAAUUUUAUCAUCUCGUUAUUGUGAAGUCUGUGAUCUGCUCCAGGGAUUAAUUAGAGCUGGGGCCCAUCUUUAGCUGGACUUGCCAAGCCCUCUUCCCUUAUAAUUAAAAGUUCCAGUAGCUGCAAGUAGGCAUCUAGGAGAACAAGUUUUGCACACUUUUCUGAGAUACUCAUGUGAUCUCCAGGCCACUUUGCCAUAUCUGAAGACAUACCUGGCUUGAAAUCAGAGGUCAGUGAAAUGCCAUAUUAAUGAAAACAGCUAUAUGCUGAGAAGCUUGAAACAUAGAAGGACUCUUCAAGAAACUAGAUGCUACAUCAUUGAGGAACUAUAAGCCUUGACUUUUUGUUUGUAAAAUGGGGAAGGAAAAAAUGUCUACUAAGGGUACUUAAAUGACUGGAGUUCUAUUGCUUAUGUUAUGCAGGCCAGCAGGCUUCUGCAUUAGUCUUCUUCUGCAUGUAAAAUACAUGAACAAUU